UAUAUAAGAUGGAACUCACGGAAGGGAAGGAUUGAAAAUAGGAGGCUUAGGAGCGCCGAUAGCGGAUAACAACCACCACCGCACCACGCAUGUUGAAAACCAGGAGUCAGGUGCAGCUACCACUCAUACAUGUGCAAACAGCCAUGAACAAGCUAGACCAGAUCGAUGAUGAUAUAUAUCUAUAUAUAUGCCGCCAUCCCGGACAGUAUCCAAUACUCCACGGCACUAACUAGCUAGGCAUGGGGUUGGGAGCAGAAUCCGGAUCCGUUUGUGUGACGGGCGCCUCCGGUUUCGUCGGUUCAUGGCUCGUCAUGAGACUCCUCGAGCGCGGCUACACCGUCCGAGCCACCGUGCGAGACCCUGCUAAUUUGAAGAAGGUGAGACAUCUGCUGGAGUUACCACAGGCGGCCACGCUACUGACGCUGUGGAAGGCGGACCUGGACAUCGAGGGAAGCUUUGAUGAGGCCAUUAAGGGAUGCACCGGAGUGUUUCAUGUCGCCACGCCUAUGGAUUUCGAGUCCGAGGACCCUGAGAACGAAGUGAUAAAGCCAACAAUAAAUGGGAUGUUAGACAUCAUGAAAGCAUGUCUCAAAGCAAAGACAGUUCGGAGGGUGGUGUUUACAUCUUCGGCCGGAGCUGUCGCCAUUGAAGAGCAUCGAAAGGAGGUCUACAGCGAAAACAACUGGAGCGAUGUUGUGUUUUGCCGGAAAGUAAAGAUGACUGGUUGGAUGUAUUUUGUAUCCAAAACUCUAGCCGAGCAAGCAGCAUGGAAGUUUGCCAAAGAAAACAACAUUGAUUUCAUUACGAUUAUCCCAACUCUUGUAAUCGGUCCUUUUCUCGCGCCAUCUAUGCCACCAAGCCUCAUAUCUGGACUUUCACCACUCACUGGAAAUGAAGCUCAUUAUGGGAUUAUAAAGCAAUGUCAAUACGUUCACCUAGAUGAUCUCUGCCAAUCUCAUAUAUUCCUCUACGAGCAUCCGAAAGCCGAGGGCCGCUACAUCUGUUCAUCACAUGAUGCCACGAUUCACGACAUUGCGAAAUUGCUGAAUGAAAGAUACCCCAAGUAUAAUGUUCCUAAGAAGUUCAAGGGCAUUGAGGAGAACUUGACAAAUAUCCAUUUUUCUUCAAAGAAGCUGAAAGAGAUGGGGUUUGAGUUCAAACACAGCUUGGAGGACAUGUUUACAGGGGCUGUUGAUGCUUGCAGAGCAAAGGGUCUGCUUCCACUUCCCCAGGAAGAAUAAUAACUGAAAAGCGCAGGGCUGGUUAGCGAGUGGUUCAUGCCAAUGGCUCCGAUCCAAUCGAAGUUAUCAUAUAUUCUCAGUUACAUUUUUAUUUCUAUUUCUGAGAAGGAUCAUUCUCAGUAACCUUCAUGUCUCUAUUGUUGAGAAUUUCAAAUAAGUUGUUGUUUGAUUUGAAUCAUUUGACGAUCGAGUGUGCUUACUCCAUUCAAAGCUCCUUCGUUUGAUGAUGUAAUUUGUGCUUAAGAAUAAAUAUUACCGUUUGAUGAUGCAACUAUUACUUUAUGCUCAAGAGUCAAGAGCA